rnacentral:lncRNA from 1 species
UUGGCAUAUCUUUGUAGUCUCUGCGCCCUGUUUGGAAAUUUUAAAAAUUGUUCCAGCGUUCGCUUAAAUUGUAUAAAUUUCAAGAUUUUGAUAGAGUCUUAAUUUGAAUUGACAUGAUUCAUUUGUCAUCGUGCAAUUACCGAGGAAGGAUAUCUGUUAUCCGAAAUAUCUAACAUAUUGUUCGUUUUAUUGUGUUUUUGGUGAUGUU